rnacentral:rRNA from 1 species
GACGAACGCUGGCGGCGUGCUUAACACAUGCAAGUCGAACGAAGAGCGAUGGAAGCUUGCUUCUAUCAAUCUUAGUGGCGAACGGGUGAGUAACGCGUAAUCAACCUGCCCUUCAGAGGGGGACAACAGUUGGAAACGACUGCUAAUACCGCAUACGAUCUAAUCUCGGCAUCGAGGAUAGAUGAAAGGUGGCCUCUACAUGUAAGCUAUCACUGAAGGAGGGGAUUGCGUCUGAUUAGCUAGUUGGAGGGGUAACGGCCAACCAAGGCGAUGAUCAGUAGCCGGUCUGAGAGGAUGAACGGCCACAUUGGGACUGAGACACGGCCCAGACUCCUACGGGAGGAAGCAGUGGGGAAUCUUCCGCAAUGGACGAAAGUCUGACGGAGCAACGCCGCGUGAGCGAUGACGGCCUUCGGGUUGUAAAGCUCUGUUAAUCGGGACGAAAGGCCUUCUUGCGAAUAGUGAGAAGGAUUGACGGUACCGGAAUAGAAAGCCACGGCUAACUACGUG